AAAUUGAAGAGUUUGAUCAUGGCUCAGAUUGAACGCUGGCGGCAGGCCUAACACAUGCAAGUCGAACGGUAACAGGAAGCAGCUUGCUGCUUUGUUGACGAGUGGCGGACGGGUGAGUAAUGUCUGGGAAACUGCCUGAUGGAGGGGGAUAACUACUGGAAACGGUGGCUAAUACCGCAUAACGUCGCAAGACCAAAGAGGGGGACCUUCGGGCCUCUUGCCAUCAGAUGUGCCCAGAUGGGAUUAGCUUGUUGGUGAGGUAACGGCUCACCAAGGCGACGAUCCCUAGCUGGUCUGAGAGGAUGACCAGCCACACUGGAACUGAGACACGGUCCAGACUCCUACGGGAGGCAGCAGUGGGGAAUAUUGCACAAUGGGCGCAAGCCUGAUGCAGCCAUGCCGCGUGUAUGAAGAAGGCCUUCGGGUUGUAAAGUACUUUCAGCGGGGAGGAAGGUGUUGUGGUUAAUAACCGCAGCAAUUGACGUUACCCGCAGAAGAAGCACCGGCUAACUCCGUGCCAGCAGCCGCGGUAAUACGGAGGGUGCAAGCGUUAAUCGGAAUUACUGGGCGUAAAGCGCACGCAGGCGGUCUGUCAAGUCGGAUGUGAAAUCCCCGGGCUCAACCUGGGAACUGCAU
rnacentral:rRNA from 1 species